GUAUUAAACGAACGAUAUGGUUGUUUAUAGUUGAAGUGUAUCCUGUCCGAUAUUCAAAACAAAGGAUUUAUUUUAUAACGGGAUCCUUUGAUUAAUUCCCAAACAUCGCCAACAUGUGUAAAAAAUAGUGCUAUUUUGAUUGUAAAAGCACAGGAUUAAAACCCGUUAUGGACUAUAAAAUUCCUUUCAUUUACAAGAAAGAUUAUGUCGAAGUAUAGCUAGCUAUCUGUU